CCAACAAGCAACAAGUCCCUAGCAAAGUUCCAGCAGGCAAAAUCUCUCCCUCUCUCUGCACCUUUCCACAAGCUCAUAUUGCGGAAGUUUCUGUCUAAAGUUUUCCAAAAUAUACUUGUCAAACAAGUUGUCUUAAAUGUACUUCUUAAUCUAGCUAAUCAUCUACUUUCAUCUAGUUAUCAGAUUCAACAUACUUUGAUUCUAUAUCCUUCUUCAUCUCCUAGGGAAUCACAAAUAUAUAAUUUCUUCCACAAGCAAAGCAAUGGGUAAAUGAUUAGAUAGAAAAUCACCUGAUUAUGCAACAGCAUCACAACAUUGAAACACACACUCUCGGUGCUUCAAAAACUGGAAAGAAGAAUAAGAAGCUCUCGUUCUGACUUGGGCCAGACAUAACAGGAUAUGAACCCUUCGAUAACCCAUAAACUUGCUGAGAACCUGAAAGAACGCACAUACGCAAAUUAAACUAACACAAAAUUACUAAAAGCAACAAUAAACUCACGUUUUUGAAUAAGAGUAGGGAAAGAUUUAGAUUGUAUUUCUAUUUUCCAUUAAAGAUAUUAUUUAGUUUUGAUUUUGUUUUGAAGGUAAGAAAGAAUUUAUAAACCUUUGAACUUCUGAUUUUAUUUUUGAUUUUAUGUGAUUGAUUGAAUGAUUUUACGGGUAUUAUAUUAAUAAAAUUGUGAAAGCAUGAUCAUGUAUUGAUUUAUGUUAUUAUUGAGUGGAAGUAGUGCUAUUAUGUUAUCACAAAAACCGUAAAUAGUGCAAAUUAAAU
rnacentral:lncRNA from 1 species